rnacentral:rRNA from 1 species
CAGAACGAACGCUGGCGGCGCGUCUUAAGCAUGCAAGUCGGGCGGCAACCUGACCACUCAUUUUAUCCAUUGGCGUACUUUUUGGCGGGUACAGUGGACAAAAUGAGUGGUCAGGCGAGAGCGGCGGACUGGUGAGUAACGCGUGGGUGACCUGCCCUGUGGACGGGGAUAGCCGCUAGAAAUAGCGGGUAAUACCGGAUGUGAUCUGGCCGCAUGAUGUGGCCAGAGGAAAGGAGCUUUGGCUCCGCCAGAGGAUGGGCCCGCGUCCCAUUAGCUAGUUGGUGAGGUAAGAGCCCACCAAGGCGAUGAUGGGUAGCCGGCCUGAGAGGGUGAACGGCCACAUUGGGACUGAGAUACGGCCCAGACUCCUACGGGAGGCAGCAGCUAAGAAUAUUCCGCAAUGGACGAAAGUCUGACGGAGCGACGCCGCGUGGACGAGGAAGGCCGAAAGGUUGUAAAGUUCCUUUAUUGCCGAAGAAUAAGCCGGGGAGGGAAUGCCCCGGUGAUGACGACAGGCGAU